AGUCGGCAGCGGCGGCGGCAGCGGGGCUGCUGCUCCUCCCAGCAUCCCUGGCGCGGCCAUUUCAGCCCCAUCUUGGCCCAGCGGAGGGAGCUGCAGCCGCCGCUUCAGCAGUUUGAAUUUCAGUUUCUUCGGGGUUUAGGAAUUGGGCGCACCGAGGAGGAGCCGGAGAAGCCACCACCGCUACCUCACACAGCCGGGGCGCCUCCGGUCCCGUGCCAGCGGUCUGCCGCCGCCGCCCCUCUCUGAGAGAAGCCGCGAGGGGAGGCCGAGACCGCCGUCGCCGCCCGCCCGCAGGGGUGGUUCCCCCUGUAAGGGGAGGACCGAGCCGGCUUUCCCCUCCCCCAGAGCGGGUUUCCGCCUGAGGCAGUCGACAUGUCCCUGGGGCUGAGCUCCGGCUAGAGCCGGGGAGGGAGGGCCGCCUGCCCGCGCCACAGCCCCACCGCCCGCCCGCGGACCUUCAGCCAGCUCCGGCCCGCGGCUCCCGGCUGAAUUAGGCAUCUCCGACUCCGGACUCGCCGCUCCUUCCCUCAGUCAGAGAGCCCAGCGCUGACGCCGGCACCGGCCUGAGGAGCCCGAGCGGGGCAGCACCGCCCCUCACGCCGCCGCCACCGCCUCCUCCUCCUCCUCUUCGCCCUCCCACUCCCACCCCCAGCCAAGGCCUGCUGACCGCGCCGAGCGCCGAGCUGGACUGACCACGGCUGCCCGGAGACGAGAGAGGAAGCAGCCGGCCCGCCCCUGGGUUCGCGCUCUCGCCGCCUCUGAGGGAAUUGAAUUGAGGCGCCGCGGCUGCGAGAGCUAAAAAGGAAGGAGGAGCCGCCGCGGGACUGAGACGGGGGCAGAGCCGAAGAGACCGACACAGAGAAGGAAACGAGGAGGAGGAUGUCUCACCGGGCGGCCAGCGCCUGGAUCAGCCCGUGACUCUUAACAGCGGCGGGCCUCAGACCCCAGCGCAGACUCGGACUUUGUCUUUGGGGGCCCGUGCUCUGCCCUCCCCGGUUUCCGACAGGACCCAGAGGAGCCGGCGUGCCUCUCUGCCCUCCAGCCUUCUUCACCAUGUCCAAGAUGCCGGCCAAGAAGAAGAGCUGCUUCCAGAUCACCAGUGUCACCACGGCCCAGGUGGCCACUAGCAUCACCGAGGACACCGAGAGCUUGGACGACCCGGACGAGUCACGCACAGAGGACGUCUCCUCCGAGAUUUUCGACGUCUCUCGGGCCACGGAUUAUGGCCCUGAGGAGGUCUGCGAGCGCAGCUCUUCCGAAGAGACGCUUAACAAUGUUGGGGAUGCGGAGACUCCCGGGACCGUCUCCCCAAACCUCCUCCUAGAUGGGCAGCUGGCAGCGGCGGCUGCUGCUCCCGCCAACGGAGGAGGAGUCGUUUCGGCCCGGAGCGUGUCUGGGGCGCUCGCCAGUACCCUGGCGGCGGCUGCCACUUCGGCCCCCGCCCCCGGAGCACCCGGCGGCCCCCAGCUCGCGGGCUCAUCCGCCGGGCCAGUGACUGCAGCCCCAUCUCAGCCUCCCACCACAUGUAGUUCCCGUUUUCGCGUGAUCAAGCUGGACCACGGGAGCGGAGAGCCCUAUAGACGCGGCCGAUGGACGUGUAUGGAAUACUAUGAGAGGGAUUCAGACAGCAGCGUCCUGACUAGAUCCGGGGAUUGCAUUAGACACAGCAGUACUUUUGACCAGACUGCGGAGCGGGACAGCGGCCUGGGCGCCACCGGAGGGUCGGUGGUGGUAGUAGUGGCCUCCAUGCAGGGGGCGCACGGGCCCGAGUCGGGAACUGACAGCUCCUUGACUGCUGUGUCACAGCUACCCCCGUCGGAGAAAAUGAGCCAGCCCACUCCGGCCCAGCCGCAGAGUUUUAGCGUUGGGCAGCCACAGCCGCCGCCGCCACCCGUAGGUGGGGCUGUGGCUCAAAGCUCGGCUCCGCUGCCGCCGUUCCCGGGAGCCGCGACCGGGCCGCAGCCAAUGAUGGCAGCCGCGCAGCCCAGCCAGCCCCAGGGAGCGGGGCCCGGGGGACAGACUCUGCCGCCGACGAAUGUAACCCUGGCGCAGCCGGCUAUGUCCCUGCCUCCGCAGCCGGGCCCUGCAGUGGGCGCCCCCGCGGCGCAGCAGCCCCAGCAGUUCGCGUAUCCUCAGCCUCAGAUACCGCCCGGACAUUUGCUGCCCGUCCAGCCCUCCGGCCAGAGUGAGUACCUGCAGCAGCACGUGGCCGGCCUGCAGCCGCCAAGCCCCGCGCAGCCCUCGUCCACCGGCGCCGCAGCGAGCCCCGCCACGGCGGCCACCCUUCCCGUGGGCACCGGCCAGAAUGCUUCCUCGGUGGGCGCGCAGCUCAUGGGCGCGUCUUCCCAGCCCAGCGAAGCCAUGGCCCCCCGGACGGGACCAGCGCAAGGCGGGCAGGUCGCGCCUUGUCAGCCGACUGGAGUGCCCCCGGCUACUGUGGGAGGCGUGGUGCAGCCGUGCCUCGGUCCUGCCGGGGCUGGGCAGCCCCAGUCCGUGCCUCCGCCGCAGAUGGGUGGCAGUGGUCCGCUGUCAGCCGUACCUGGUGGCCCUCACGCCGUGGUGCCCGGAGUUCCAAACGUGCCUGCAGCCGUGCCCGCUCCAAGCGUGCCUAGUGUGUCUACCACUUCUGUUACUAUGCCAAAUGUACCCGCGCCUCUGGCCCAGUCGCAACAGCUGAGCAGCCAUACGCCAGUCAGCAGGAGCAGCAGCAUAAUCCAGCAUGUUGGGCUGCCCUUAGCGCCAGGCACACACAGCGCACCAACAAGUCUACCACAGUCUGACCUAAGCCAGUUUCAAACUCAGACCCAGCCUUUAGUCGGGCAAGUCGACGAUACUAGAAGAAAAUCAGAACCCCUACCUCAACCACCACUUUCUCUCAUUGCUGAAAAUAAGCCUGUUGUGAAGCCGCCUGUUGCAGAUUCCCUGGCAAACCCCCUUCAGUUAACACCUAUGAACAGUCUGGCCACCUCUGUAUUCAGCAUAGCUAUUCCUGUUGAUGGUGAUGAAGACAGGAAUCCUUCAACUGCUUUCUACCAAGCGUUCCAUUUGAACACGUUAAAGGAAUCAAAGAGCCUCUGGGAUAGAAUUUUUUUUAGAAUUCAGCAUCGGAGGAGGAAUGUGACAUAAUAAUGAUCGAAAGCCGAAAGUUUAAAAGUUGUGAUGCCCUCACAUGGUUGGAGGGUUAUUCUAGCUUCUAAGGACUGAAUGUUGUCCACAAGAGUGUCAUCAGGUCAUAAAUUGUGCAUCUGGGGGAGGUGUUGUAGCCAUUGACAACAAAAUAGAACAAGCAAUGGAUCUGGUGAAAAGCCAUUUGAUGUAUGCAGUAAGAGAAGAAGUGGAAGUUUUAAAGGAACAAAUAAAAGAAUUAGUUGAAAGAAACUCUUUACUUGAACGAGAAAAUGCACUGUUAAAAUCUCUUUCAAGCAAUGAUCAAUUAUCCCAACUCCCAACCCAACAGGCCAAUCCUGGUAGCACUUCUCAACAGCAAGCAGUGAUAGCACAGCCUCCGCAGCCAACGCAACCUCCACAGCAGCCGAAUGUCUCCUCAGCAUAAAGCUUUCUUAAGCCUCAUUAAGAAAAAAACUGAAAGCAAUCUAUCCUUGUGUGCCACUGGUGUUCUUUCCACUUUAUACGAAAGCAAGUAGCCAUGCUUUGGUUGUGUGUUUGGCCUUUUCAGUAUUAGACAAUCAUUCUACAAGAGCUUUUCCUCUCUCUGAGAUGUCAUGCAGCGCUGUUGAUGUCCAGUUCUAUGUCAUCAGUACACAAGGAGAAUAAUAGAUGGGGUUUAUUAAAGCGAGCAAAGUCUGCAUUUUACCUGGUGCGCAUGAGUGGGGUCUUUAAGAGUUUUGGUGGCUCUCCCAUGUUUCCUAUUACCCAUGGAUUUACCCUGAGCCUUCCUAUCACAUUAUAAAUAACAGUUCAUCUAAAGAGCCACUUUUCUUUCUGAUUCAGUAACAUUUGCCUACAUAAGUUUUCAUUUAUUUGUGUUUUAUUUAUUACAGGGCUGCUAUUUUCAUAAUGUACAUGAACAAUGUCACAGAACUUUUUUAAUUUUUUUGAAUAAUUAUAAGUAUCAGUAAAGGAAGUGAAAGACAGGAUUGCAUUUAAUAGAUAAAACGUUUAGGCAAUAAUUGAACAAAAGAAUCCUGGCAUAUUUCUAACACUAAUGGCAAUUUACUUAUGGUAUUUAUUUUCAGUAGUAAAGACCCAGCUUGAAUGUAAAUUUUGUAUAGUGUAAGUAUGAAGAACAUAGUGCAACUGUACAGGUAGUCACCAGUUAUUGUGAUAUGAUAAAUAAUUGGGCUAUUUUGAUGAAGAAAACUUUGUUCAUUUGUUUCUACUUUCUAAGAGAAAUUGCCACGAUUCCUCUGCUUUUCAACAUUUCGUAUGACUUUUUUUUCGGGUGGGAAUAAAAAGCUGUGAAAUUGUUCAACCUACUUUGUAACCAAAGAAGCAAAGCUGUGUAAUGGAGUUUGGUUUUUUUUUGUUGUUUUUUUUUUUUUGUCUUUUUUUUUUUUUAUAAUGCACAUUCUUUAUGUAUUUUUAUUUAGUGUUUUCUCAGUCACAAUUUUCUUUACUGUCUAGCAUGAUCUGCAUGACCUAUAAUCUUUGAACCACUUUCGUACCUCAUGUUUUUAUCCAGCACUCUUAUUGUAAUAUGUACUAGUCUGUGAACAAUGUCAAAUAAAAGAGAACGAACAGGUAGUUUGGUGGAGCUGAGCUAGUGUACAAUACACUAGUUGUAAAAAAAAAAAAAAAAAAAAGUGAGCCAUCUUUUGUUCAUUUAAAAUGGUGUUUUGAAUUUCGUAUGCAGAAAACGUUUUGUUACAUUGCAGAUUUUAAUGUAUUUAAUAAAUGCAACAUGCAGAUUAAGUGCAGUGUAUACUGAGUAUUUAAAUUAAAAUGUACAUUUCAUAAAUACAGUUUCAAAAGAAAGCAUCAUUUUGUGUAUACUAACACAUUAAGUGUAUGUCAGAAAUUGAUGUAUAAAUAUAUAUUUUAACAUUUUCUGAAAUUAAACUGCAGUUUUGUUGAAAUAUUUGGCUCUAUAUGUGUUCAAAAUUUGACUAGAUUUGUAUUUUCACAGUUCAAAAUACUCCUUAAAGACCUGUUAAUAAUGACUUACUGAUAGUUCUUAAAUUUUCAAAGUAAAACAAUUUAAAGAAUGCAAAAAUAGUGAGCAAUAUUUGUACUCAAUAUUCAUAUUAUGUUAGUGAUACUUAAGUAGGAAAUCCUUGUCUACCAAAACUUUUACUUGAAUUCAGAAAGGUGCCUGUAGAAAUUAACAUGCACUGCAUCUGUAGCCAGCUAGCUAAUCAGAGUUAAUGAGAACCAGUAGUUAGUUCUCCGUGUUAAAAGACUUAUUUGAAGUAAAAAUUUAAUCAGAUUAGCCACAAACAAACAAGGCAUAAAAUUGGGAUGUACAUGAGAUUGCCAAAUAUUUUCUAUUCUAGUUGUGCUGCAAGACAUUGAACAAAAUGUUAAUGAAUAACAUUAUAAAUCAAGGAACUAAGUACAUAGGCUUGAGUAAGCAACCCUAAGGAUGUGUAGUAAGAUUCCAAGUAGAGCUGCUACAGGUGAGAUACUUAAUGGAAUGUGAAACUUCACUGUUGGACUGUUAACCGAAAAGGUUUGCUGGCUGUGCCCCUCCAGUGCUAACUGUGACAUGUGAUAUUUAAUACAGGUGGAGAAAAACUAGUCUUAGAAAUGGGAUUUUUGUGAAAAUAGAUUCCAUUUUGAUUCUGGGGCUGGAAAAACACUUCAUAAACAAAGUAAUAGUCUCCAAGGAAAUGAAUAAUAAGGUUUAAAAUGGUAACAGCAGUUAUUACUACUUUUAUAUUAAGAAAAACAGUAGAAAAGGAGAGAAAAUAUGGGUAGUUCACAGAAGAGAUAAAUGGCAGUUUCUAAAGGUUCAACCUCUAGUAACCUAAGAAAUGCAAAUUAAUGUUUUUGGCGAAUUGUAAUAAGUGUCCUAAGUAGCAGGACUUAACAUAGAAAGAAAGACAGGCUUUCCUGUGUACUUUUAGAAAGUAAUUUGGCAGUAUGUAUCUAGAGCCUUAAAUAAUAAGCUUUCCAGUGUAACGACAGGAGAAGAUACUCAACUCAUGGUCCAUUGUUCAAAAAUGCAGAAUUAUUGUGGUGUCUGCCCUCUGCUUUCCCAUCAUCCCCUCCCCUCAAAAUCCAAACUAUCCCUACUGUCAACCCUUCCCCCAGCUGAUUGUUUAGGAUCUUAAGUAACUUCCAAUUCAGCUUUGGAGAUUUAGUCUCCUGCUCCAAAUAGUUGUAAAUAUUAACUGAUUGAGAUCCCAAUUUGGAGGCACAGUCUUACAGGAAUGCCAUCUAUCUAAUUCUGUCAGUGUAAUGCCCAUAGAGCAAGGUCCCACAUAAGCUUUUCUGUUUUAAUUUAGCCGGUAAAUCAUAAGUAGAAAUUUUUCUGAUACGGUAAUUGUCUACAAUUCAAACCUAACUUUCCCCAAAUAAAAUUUAGUUUGUUCCGAUGUGAUCUCACAGCUUGCCACACCAAAAACAAAUAGUAGGGGUUAGGAGGCAUUAAAUAAACAGUUUCCUUAACUCCUGAUUGUCCAAAAUAGCUGAAUUUUUCCAAUUCUAUUUAUAAUAUCCUAUGCUAAUUAGAAGUAUUGAGAUAACGUUUUAUAAUCAAGCCUCCAGUGACUGGGGAUCACAGCUGCCAUUAUUCACAAGAAUUUUCACAGGUGAAUGAUUAUAUUUCUCCAAGUUGCAAACUCCAGUAAUUCAUGGACCUUUUUUUAAAAAAAAAAAAAGUCUUAAUAGAACCAGAAUAUCUCUGUUCUUGAAAAUUUAUCUUUGCAGAACCAGAAAUAGCUAAUUGUCUGGAAACAAUUUUUAAGAUUUGAAGUCACAUUUUUAAAAGAAGCUUUAUGGCUCAGUGGCAAGCACUUUGUGACAUUUCUUUAAUAAUCCUAUGAAAAGGACAAAACCCAGCCCUCAAAAUUGACAAUUUGAGGACAUAAUAAGCCAACUGAUAAUGCAGUGAGGAAUACUUGUUACUAUGUACAGUCAGGGAUGGUUUUGUCAGGGUAGGUUUCCUCAAAAACAUGACACCUGAGUCUUGAAGGUCAUAAGAGCCAGAGGGAAGGGUGUUCCAAGCACAAGAAAAGAGAACUCAAUGGCUUAAAAGUAUAAACAAGGCUCCUAGGGCAGCCACAGAAUUGCAUUGGAGACAGGCAGGCAGUGACUUCCCCACUGACCUAGUAUUUUGGCAUCUAUUCAGAAAGCAAGAAUGAUUUAUUGAAUGGUUUUAAGCAAUGGGAUACUAUGCUCAAAUUAUGCUGGAUGUGCACAAUUCCAGUGGCAGAUGGGAGGUAGGUUAGAGUAGCUGAAACUGGAAGCUGAGAAAUAAUUUAGGAGGGAUGACAAUCCGGAAAAUAAAUGAAAGGGCAAAAUUACAUAGGCAAUUUUGUGAAGGUCAUGAAGGAAGUUUGUCUUGGGUCUUUCUGUACCAUUUUCCUCUCCACAAUGAACAUCCCAUUCCCAGUGUCAGGUAUCAGGUGCCUAUUUUCUUUUUUUCUUUUUUCUUUUUUUUUUUUUUUGAGACAGAGUCUUGCUGUGCUCAGGCUGGAGUGCAGUGGCAAGAUCUCGGCUCACUGCAACCUCCGCCUCCCAGGUUCAAGCGAUUCUCCUGCCUCAGCCUCCUGAGUAGCUGGGAUUACAGGCGUGUGCCACCAUGCCAGGCUAAUUUUUGUAUUUUUAGUAGAGACAGGGUUUCACCAUGUUGGCCAGGUUGGUCUUGAACUCCUGACCUCAAGUCAUCUCCCCCGCCCGCCUGGGCCUCCCAAAGUGUUGGGAUUACAGGCGUGAGCCACCGCACCCAGCUGCCUAUUUUCUUGUCCCUCCAAAAAAAGAUUAAAGAGUCCCAACUCAUACUUGAAAGUUUGACUCGGUCUUUUCCUUCCAACAGUUAUAAAUCUGUGAAAUGAAAGUCUUUGUUUCCUUAAAGGGAUUUCAAGAAUUUAACAAAAGGGUUGGGGAAUGGAACCUUUGCUGUCACUAUGCCUGUCUCUCAAUUCUACCCUAAAGGUAAACUAAAUGGAAUCCUUUUAUGGUGACUAGGAUUAGGAUGUUGAUUCCAAAGCCUUUCCCUAAAAUCUAUUCCUUGCUCCCUGGAAAGGAUAAUACAGGUUCUGGCCCCCACUGUAGGUACUGACAGCCCAAGGCAGAAUAGGUUUUGCUAGGCUUUAGCCUUUUAUUCUUUGACAUAGGUCAGUCCUGCAGGCUUCUUUUUUCUAAGUCUCCUGCCUAUCCAAAACCAGACCUUUUCUCCCACCUCCUUCUGCUUCAAGCCUCUUAAUAAUCCAUAUUUCUAUUUUCUAGCAAUAGUAAUAGUUUAUUAUUUAGUGAUGUAUACUUGCACCCCAUUUACUCCUUUUCAAUAUUUCAGGAUACAUCUUUGUCCUGUAUUUCUGUACCAGUUCACAGAAUUUCUACAGCAAGAUCCCUUUAAAUGUAUGGCUUUCCUUCAUAGGUUGCAAGGAUUACUUUAUACAAGUGCUACUGUAACUAUAUCUUUUGUGGAGUACAAUUGGUAUGACAUGCUGUGUUCAUAGAUGAAAAUGCUAAGUGAGGCACUCUGAAGCAAGUUAAAGUUCACAGACAUUCUUGCUUGCCCACCACCCCCCCGAACCCCGCCAUGGAAUCAUCAAAUAAGAAAAAUAAGACAGAUUUUCAGAUUGGUGAUGGCAAAGUAAGACGCUGGUAUUUUGCACUGGCGCAGUCCAUUUAGUUGUUGAAUUUGUUCAGCAUACCUGGAUGGUGAGUGAGUUAGCUUUAUUUUUCAUUCUCAGCAGGGAAACUGAUAGACUAGGCAGUUUGGGGAAUUUUCCCAUUGUCUACUGUCAUGGGUCCAUAGUAUUUAAGUUUACAGACUACAACAUUGUCCACAGAAGCCAUAUUUAUCCCCUUGGAGGGAAGGGAAAGGUGUGCUAACUUAGAUCAUAAAAACAACUGAAUUUUAAAACAAGGCAAAUGCCACAGUUCAACUUCUCCAUAAAAAAGUUAAGUUCAUCUCUCCAUUCUUUUGCAUGCCUACAAUAUUUCCAUAUAACAACUGUAAAAUACUCUUGCCUGCUGCAAUCCAAAUGUUAUCCGGAUCACAGUUCUUGCUGUCAUUUCACAGGCAUGCAAUGUAUCUAUAGAUAGGUCAUAUCAUACCUGAGGAAGAUCAGAGACAGCAAGGGAACAUUUUCCCCACACUUGAGAUGGAAAUAAUAACAGGUCAGUGGCUAAUAAAAAGAAACAUGUAUGACUUUGUAAAACCCUAAAAGUGAUGUUUUCAAGAAAUUUAGGUUUCUUUUUUUUAUUUUAUAAAAAAAAUGUUGACAUGCAAUUUAAUUCUAUUUCAAUUUAGGUGCUGCAACCUGUACUGGAUGUUUGGGGAUAGAAAGAUGAAUGGGACAUGAUUUGUGUGCUCCAAUGAGCUCAGUCCAGUGUAAGUGUAAAAGUUAAAGUGCCAUAUUGUUUAUUCAGAGUAUAUGUUAUAGUUUGUGAACCUUAUAUCAUUUGUUAAAUGAAAGGUUUUUAUAAAUCAACAGUAAUAUUGCCAUCCCAUGUAAAAAUCCUUUGAUAUUGCCAGGAAACAACUUUAAAUCACCAGAAAGCUUUAACAUCAAAUAAUACUUUUAGAAGGAGGGGAAAAGCCUUCCACCUCGACAUCGAGCCUAUGAAGUAUUCCCUAAAAAAGAGGAACUAAUCUGAGAAAAGUUUACACAUUUUUAAUACUCUAAGUUGUAGAUAAUGAAAUUGAUUUAAAUCAAAGUUAACUAGAAUAGGAUUCAUGUGUCAUGAAUUAUAUUGUCUAUUGUCUCAUAAGCAACAAGUGACACUUAUUAUCUUGGCUGACAAAAUCAGCUACCAUUUAAUGAACCAAGUUAAGAAUAACUCAGGUGACUGAUACCAAAAAUAAAUCUCUAAUACAGCUGAGAAUCCAGAAACACAAAUAAUAUGUUGAGUAAGUAAUAAAAGUGACAUUUCAAAUUAGUAAGGAAAAAAUGGAUUAUUCAACAAAUAGUAUGGGAUAGCAUAACAAUUUAGAAGAAAUAUAAAGUUAGAUCUUUCACAAAAAUUAAUUCUAGCUAGACUAGCAGUUAGUCUUCUACUUUUUGGUUACUCCCUUUUAGAAAUUGGAAGCUAUGAAGCUAUAUACCCUGUCCAUUUGAAAAUGCACAUAAGCAAAGAACUUUACAAAUAGGUUAUAAAGAGAAGCUCAAUCUCAGCAAAAUAAGGGAAGUGCACAUUAAAACACAAGAAACCAUCUCAGAUCCAACUAAUAUUUAGCGUGCAUACAAAUCAAAAGCUGGAAAGGGUGUGGAAAAACAGGAAUACAUUGCUAGUGAGCAUACAAAUUGGCACAGCCUCUUUUAAAGACAAUUGUGUAUCACCCAUUAAAUUUUAAAAGUCACAUACCCUGUGACCUAACAAUUCCAACUUUUAAUGUCCUAAAGAAACAUACAUGUGUUCACAAGAUAGCCUGUACAAUGAUGUCAAUUGCACCUUUGCUUGUACAGUAGACCCCCUUAUCUGCAUUUUCACUUUUUGAGGUUUCAGUCAUCCAAGGUCAACCACAAUACAAAAAUAUUAAAUGGAAAAUUCCAGAAACGAACAUAAGUUUUAAACUUCAAACCUUUCUGCAUAGUAUAAUAAAAAUCUCUCACUAUCCCUCUCCAUCCUGCCUGGGACAGGAAUCAUCCCUUUGUCCAGUGUAUCCACAAUGUAUACACUCAUUAUAUACCCAUUUUAUAAUGCCCAUUAGUCAUUUCUAUUAUCAGAUCAUAAAAAAACAUAGUACAUAGAGGGUUUGGUAUUAUUCAUGGUUUCAGGCAUUCAGUGAGGGUCUUGGAAAAUAUCCUCCAUGAUGGGGGAGCUACUGUAAUACUAUGAAAUUGGAAAAACCAAAAUACUCAUCAAGAGGAUGGACUAUGGUACACAUGAUGAAGUAUUAAGUAUCAAUGAAAAAGAGAGAGUCCUACAUGUCCGGCAUGGAAGGAUCUCCAGGAGACAAUGUUAAAAGUUUGGGGGAAAAAUUGAAAGACAAUACCUGUAAUACAUAUGAUACUAGUGAUGUUAAAUCACAUCACACACACACACACACACACACACACACACACACAAAUACUGUAUAGUGUACUUCUACAAGUACAUAUUUGUGUAUUAUAUAGAGAGAAGGUCUGGAAGGAUACUAACCAAACUGUCAACAGUAGUUUGGUAGCGUGCAUUAGCUUUAACUGUAAUGUUUGAUGUUUUUGAAUAUGCAUUUAUGUAUUGUUUGUGUAAUGACAAAUUAAUAAAUUAGAAAUAAAAUAAAA